rnacentral:rRNA from 1 species
UUGACCUCAAAUCGGGUGAGACUACCCCGCUGAACUUAAGCAU